CCCUUAGAUGUUCUGGGCCGCACGCGCGCUACACUGAUGCAUUCAACGAGCCUAGCCUUGACCGAGAGGUCCGGGCAAUCUUUGAAACUGCAUCGUGAUGGGGCUAGAUUAUUGCAAUUAUUAAUCUUCAACGAGGAAUGCCUAGUAAGCGUGAUUCAUCAAAUCGCGUUGAUUACGUCCCUGCCCUUUGUACACACCGCCCGUCGCUCCUACCGAUUGAGUGUGUUGGUGAGGAGUUCGGAUUGGCUCUUAGUGGUGGUUCGCCACCACCUAGAGCUGAGAAGUUCUCCAAACCGCCCCACUUAGAGGAAGGAGAAGUCGUAACA
rnacentral:rRNA from 1 species